rnacentral:rRNA from 1 species
CAGCAGCAGCCACGGUAAUACGAAGGGUGCAAGCGUUACUCGGAAUUACUGGGCGUAAAGCGUGCGUAGGUGGUGGUUUAAGUCCGUUGUGAAAGCCCUGGGCUCAACCUGGGAAUUGCAGUGGAUACUGGGUCACUAGAGUGUGGUAGAGGAUAGUGGAAUUUCCGGUGUAGCAGUGAAAUGCGUAGAGAUCGGAAGGAACAUCUGUGGCGAAGGCGACUAUCUGGGCCAACACUGACACUGAGGCACGAAAGCGUGGGGAGCAAACAGGAUUAGAUACCCCGGUAGUCCCUGUCUCUUAUAC